UCGUCAUUUCAUAUUUGAAUGGCAGGUGGUAGUCUGCUUAAGUUUUCCUUUUACUCUCACAGGGCAAAGACAUGUACACUGCCAACAUGCAUGCUAUUGCCACAAUCCUCUAGCCUACUCUCCAGAUAAUGCUUUCAUGAAGGAUGCCCUUGUGUUCCCUGCAUGAACACAAGCCACCGGCCCAGAUCAUUAUCUGUUAUGUGUACUGAAGCCACUCUGAAGAGAGAUCCUCCUUCUAGUCUCCCUGUAUAGUAUCAAAGCCUGGUUUUGGAGAUGACCAGCACAGAGACAUCUUUAGGUCCACAGCUAAGAAACGAUUGCCAUGUUCCUAUGGCAUAUAACGUCGAGAGUAUGCCCUCUACACCGUGCUGAACACUCCAUUUAAUUUCCCUCAGAUGAGCUUUUCUAUUUUCUUCAUUAAAAGCUUGACAUUCCUGCGAUCAGAUUGGUGAGCAGUUUGAGACAGAGAGGUAUGUGUACUAAUUUCUGAACAUCUUAGUUUGUUUCAUUCUUGAAGUCCCUUCCUUGUCAGUGGAAAUAACUGACCAAACUGAGGCAACACAGCACAGAUGAAAAAUGCAAUAAAUCAUCAGCAUAGUCAUAAGGCAUCAAUCAAUCAUGCCUUGUCAUUGUUUUCAUAAUCACCUCAGUAAAA